rnacentral:lncRNA from 1 species
AAGAGACAGCGCCGCCGGCCGUGGGGAGCGGACGCAGCGAUUUGCUCCCCUUCGCGCAGCAACCCCCACACCCAGCACCAGGCCCCCAGAACUCUCCUUCCAGCUGAACUCUCUGAGAACAAGUCAGUUGGGCUGAUCACUGAACUCACAUUUCUGGACCUGAGGAGCCUGUUCCUCUCACACCCUCACCUGGCUGAGCCGCAGUAGUUCUUCAGUGGCAAGCUUUAUGUCCUGACCCAGCUAAAGCUGCCAGUUGAAGAACUGUUGCCCUCUGCCCCUGGCUUCGAGGAGGAGGAGGAGCUGCUUUCCCCAUCAUCUGGAAGCGGCUACAGGAAGCUGUGUCUGUUCGAUUUGGUGGGAGGAGAUGUGCAGGGAGCUGUAUCUUAUCCUCCGCUUGUGAAAAACUCAAGGAUGUGGAGAAGAGUAGACCGUGGAACCCUGCCCUUCUGCAACCAAGCUGAGGGGCAGGAUGCGUAUGGGACAGUGGUAGAGAAGCAGGGGAUAGACGCAUAGGCUGCAACAAAGGUCACUCUGUCCCUGGACACUGCCUCCGUACUUUCUCCUUCUUGCUUCACUGGCCACAGCAUCUCCCUCCAGCCCUCACUAUGUGCCUCUGCCAUCUUCACCCAUCAUGGAGCAGAGGUGAGGAAA